GUGACAGACCUCAAGGCCAAGGAAAGAGUGAUGAAACUGAUGAAUCAUGAGAAUGCUGAGGUUACCAAAUAUGCCCUCCUUUGCAUUCAAAGGCUCUUUCUAGGUGCCAAGUAUGCUAGCUUUCUGCAGGCUUAACUUGGUCUCUCCAUUUGUGUGUAAGUUAUAAUAAAUCCAUCUACUAGAACACACCCCGGUUGCUGGAGCUAAAAAG
rnacentral:misc_RNA from 1 species